UGCAUGUAUUGUAGACUAAAUUAUUUAAUUUAUAUAUAUUUCACUAUAAAAUUUUAAAAAUGUAUGCACAAAACCACCAAGGUUCCCUUCAACUGGUAUCAGAGUGAAGGUUCGUUAUGACAUGAGCAUAUAUGCAUGUAGAGUUGAAAUCUAGAUUUAGCAAUGCAUGAGAUGUACUAUGAUUUGAUUUUAAAUAUAAUCUUAUAUAAAAAUUAGAUCUGAUAUAAUUUAGAUUUGAUCUAAAUUUUUACAUAUAUGAUAUGUGAGUAGAUUAGAUGAUCCGAUUAGCAAGUACUUGGAUUAGAUUGAUCACCAGGCCAUCCGAUCAUAGGAGCAAAAAGGGUUUUGGGGUGCCAUAUGAUUUAAUCCCAUGAAAAAGAAAGUGAAAGGAAGAACUUACUUUUCUACAAAAUCUUAGAUGAUGAAAUCCUAGAAUUUGUUGUAUGUGAUACAAAAUUUGAGUUGUAUAAAAAGUAGAAUAUCUAAUCUAUAUGAUUAAAAUUAUUUUAAUCUUGAAAAGUAAAAUUUAGAAUCA
rnacentral:lncRNA from 1 species